GGUUGCGGCCAUAUCUACCAGAAAGCACCGUUUCCCGUCCGAUCAACUGUAGUUAAGCUGGUAAGAGCCUGACCGAGUAGUGUAGUGGGUGACCA
rnacentral:rRNA from 1 species